AAGAGUUAUUAUCUAACUCCCAAAACCAUGUGAACUUACCUAUGUUGCCUCGGCGGGGAACCUACCCGGGGGGCCUACUCUUUAAAGUGGCCUAUCUCGGUACCUACUCGGUGGCUACGCUGUAGUUGUAGGCUUACCCGCCGGCGGACCAUUAAAACUCUUAUUUAUUGUGGGCACUUCUGAAUUAUUAUCAUAAUAAGUUA
rnacentral:misc_RNA from 1 species